AGGAAGGCAGCAGGCGCGCAAAUUACCCACUCCCGGCACGGGGAGGUAGUGACGAAAAAUAACGAUACGGGACUCAUCCGAGGCCCCGUAAUCGGAAUGAGUACACUUUAAAACCUUUAACGAGUAUCCAUUGGAGGGCAAGUCUGGUGCCAGCAGCCGCGGUAAUUCCAGCUCCAAUAGCGUAUAUUAAAGUUGUUGCGGUUAAAAAGCUCGUAGUUGGAUUUGUGUCCCACGCUGUCGGUUCACCGUUCGUCGGUGUUUAACUGGCAUGCCUGUGCGGACGUCCUGCCGGUGGAUGCGGUCGGCCGUGGGCCUCUGGUCUGCGCGUCGGCGGUCCGAUUCAAUCCUACCGCGGUGCUCUUCACCGAGUGUCGAGGUGGGCCGGCACGUUUACUUUGAACAAAUUAGAGUGCUCAAAGCAGGCAGUGGUUCGCCUGAAUAUUGUGUGCAUGGAAUAAUGGAAUAGGACCUCGGUUCUAUUUUGUUGGUUUUCGGAACUUGAGGUAAUGAUUAAUAGGGACAGACGGGGGCAUUCGUAUUGCGACGUUAGAGGUGAAAUUCUUGGAUCGUCGCAAGACGAACCUAAGCGAAAGCAUUUGCCACGAGUGUUUUCAUUAAUCAAGAACGAAAGUUAGAGGUUCGAAGGCGAUCAGAUACCGCCCUAGUUCUAACCAUAAACGAUGCCAGCUAGCGAUCCGCCGAAGUUCCUCCGAUGACUCGGCGGGCAGCUUCCGGGAAACCAAAGCUUUUGGGUUCCGGGGGAAGUAUGGUUGCAAAGCUGAAACUUAAAGGAAUUGACGGAAGGGCACCACCAGGAGUGGAGCCUGCGGCUUAAUUUGACUCAACACGGGAAACCUCACCAGGCCCGGACACCGGAAGGAUUGACAGAUUGAGAGCUCUUUCUUGAUUCGGUGGGUGGUGGUGCAUGGCCGUUCUUAGUUGGUGGAGCGAUUUGUCUGGUUAAUU
rnacentral:rRNA from 1 species